CCAAAACCAGGGCUCACCUACAGCCCUCAGCAGGCAUCAUGGAAUGUGUGGGUUUAAGGAGUCUCUUCACUGUAGCCCAUUUCAUAAAGGCCAGAUGUGACCACGGCCUGAAAGCGGGUUCCAGCAAGAUUAAGAAUGAUGUCUUUUUUGAGGUUGAGAUCCUGGACACCAGAGCAAGGCACAACUCUCCUUCCUGGAUAAGCGGGAAAGACCCUCAGUGAUGAUGAUGUGCUGGAGGAUCUUCCGGUCGGCACGACCACAACGAUGUUCUUCCAGGACCUCGGCCCACAGAUAGGCUGGACUAUGAAAGCAUCUGAUACACACUCAUUUAGACAACAGCAGCUCAUUCAGUGUCUAUAACAGUGAUGGUAUUGGGGGAUGAUUGCAGGUGUUUCUGGCCGCUUUUCAUUUACCUGCUGUUCUACUAUCGGCUUCCAAAAAUCUACGGGAAUGAGUAUGACUUCACCCGAAGCCCAUUCAAAGUUGUCAAGUGAGUUCAGAGUGAAAAAUCUUAUUUAUAUGAUUUAUGGACAGAAUAAGUAAUUUCUAUAUUUCUUAAAUACCUAAUCUACUGAAUUUAGUUUUGUUGGUGUAGCCGAAUGUAUUUCUAUUGGUUCAGUGGAGUUUAAUAGUAGGCCUAUUUAGACUUUAGAUGUUACUUCAUGAAUCACAUUUUUAAAUAAAACAGAAAAUGCAGCAAUAAUGUACCAAAAGCGUUUGUGGUUUAUGUUUGACCCUGCUCAUACAGGCAGACUAGCUGGAAACUAUUUUAAUCCAUCGCUUUUCUGACGGAACAUUACCUUUACACACCAUCAUGCUGCUAUGUUUAUGUCUGUAUUUUGUCAUACAAAAAUGUCACAGUAUUUCCUGUUUUGGCACAUUAGCUACUGUGUCUGAAGCGCUUAUGACAUUGACAUUAGUUCAGUGGUGUCAGUGAAGCGUUGAGGAGCUUUGGGGGGAAUAUUCGGCUGCUUUCCAUUAAUCGUCCUCUUGCUGGUUUAAAUGAUGCCCCUGCGGUAUCUUUCAACACGCUCAGAAUACACAUGCUUUGACCAUAUAAGAGUUGUUCGAAAUAUUGCCUGCAAAUUUGAAUACUAACCAUGCAAAUGAGCGAGCUUAAAUAUAGUGAAACAUAGCUAAAGUAUAACACUGAGGUUUGCAUUGAGCAGUGACUGUUUGUCAUAUUAGACACGAUCCUCACAUGAAUGAAAACUCUGUCUGUAUUACUGGGGGUUUGCAGCAUGGCAGGCGUAUUACAUCAACUCCCUGCUCUACACACCACACUGUAAGUUCUCCUUCUGUCACACAUUACAUUAGUCUGUGAGCCUCAUUAUAACAUCUGAUAUUAACGUCUGUUUCUCUAGACUAUGGGAGACUUCAAAUCUGGCCAUUUUUUGGGGGAUGUCAAAAUCUGUAAUAUGAAUUAUUUUUUAUUAUUUAAAAUAUUAUUAAAUAUUUAAAGCUUCUUUAAGUAGGCCAACUAUUUAGCAAAAAAAAAAAAGUAAAGGUCCAUCUUCCAAACCAUAUCCAAAUUGGUUUAACUUGUAAUGAUAAUAAAAAUGUUAAUGAGGUUGAGACGGAUUUGCAAAAAAAAAAAAACUGUUU